UGUGUCUAUGUGCAGUGUUCUGACCUAUGAACAUCUGAAUAAUUAGUA
rnacentral:snoRNA from 1 species